CUACGGGGUGCAGCAGUGAGGAAUAUUGCGCAAUGGGGGCAACCCUGACGCAGCGACGCCGCGUGAGUGAGGAAGGCCUUCGGGUCGUAAAGCUCUGUCAAGAGGAAAGAAGUGCAUAGUAGUUAAUACCUGCUAUGUUUGACGGUACCUCUAAAGGAAGCACCGGCUAACUCCGUGCCAGCAGCCGCGGUAAUACGGAGGGUGCAAGCGUUGUUCGGAAUCACUGGGCGUAAAGGGCGCGCAGGCGGCCUGGUAAGUCAGAUGUGAAAGCCCACGGCUUAACCGUGGAAGUGCAUUUGAAACUGUCAGGCUUGAGUACCAGAGGGGAAAGUGGAAUUCCCGGUGUAGAGGUGAAAUUCGUAGAUAUCGGGAGGAAUACCGGUGGCGAAGGCGACUUUCUGGCUGAGUACUGACGCUGAGGCGCGAAAGCGUGGGGAGCAAACAGGAUUAGAUACCCCAGUAGUC
rnacentral:rRNA from 1 species